UACGUAGGGGGCAAGCGUUGUCCGGAAUCAUUGGGCGUAAAGAGCGUGUAGGCGGUCCGAUAAGUCCGCUCUGAAAGUCCGGGGCUCAACCCCGGGAGGCGGGCGGAUACUGUCGGGCUAGAGUCCGGAAGAGGCAAGUGGAAUUCCUGGUGUAGCGGUAAAAUGCGCAGAUAUCAGGAGGAACACCGAUGGCGAAGGCAGCUUGCUGGGACGGUACUGACGCUGAGACGCGAAAGCGUGGGGAGCAAACAGG
rnacentral:rRNA from 1 species